rnacentral:rRNA from 1 species
AUUGAACGCUGGCGGAAUGCUUUACACAUGCAAGUCGAACGGCAGCACGGACCUCGGUCUGGUGGCGAGUGGCGAACGGGUGAGUAAUAUAUCGGAACGUAUCCAAUAAUGGGGGAUAACUAAUCGAAAGGUUGGCUAAUACCGCAUACGUCCUACGGGAGAAAGCUAGGGACCUUCGGGCCUGGCGUUAAUGGAGCGGCCGAUAUCGGAUUAGCUAGUUGGUGAGGUAAAGGCUCACCAAGGCGACGAUCCGUAGCUGGUCUGAGAGGACGACCAGCCACACUGGAACUGAGACACGGUCCAGACUCCUACGGGAGGCAGCAGUGGGGAAUUUUGGACAAUGGGCGAAAGCCUGAUCCAGCCAUUCCGCGUGAGUGAAGAAGGCCUUCGGGUUGUAAAGCUCUUUCGCAAGAGAAGAAAACUUACCCUCUAACAUAGGGUGAGGUUGACGGUAUCUUGAUAAGAAGCACCGGCUAACUACGUGCCAGCCGCCGCCGUAA